AAGANGGAUCGGGAUAACACCUGGAAACAGAUGCUAAUACCGGAUAACAACAGAUGAUGCCUAUCAACUGUUUAAAAGAUGGUUCUGCUAUCACUCUUGGAUGGACCUGCGGUGCAUUAGCUAGUUGGUAGGGUAACGGCCUACCAAGGCGAUGAUGCAUAGCCGAGUUGAGAGACUGAUCGGCCACAUUGGGACUGAGACACGGCCCAAACUCCUACGGGAGGCAGCAGGG
rnacentral:rRNA from 1 species